UACCACAGCCAUAUCACCCUGGAGCCCAAGACUGGUUGCCCACUGAAGCUAAGUAGGGUUGAGCCUGGUCAGUACCUGGAUGGGAGACCUCCUGGGAAAACUAGGUUGCUUUUGGAA
rnacentral:rRNA from 1 species